AUGGCUUCCACAACACAUAUACUAAAAUUGGAAUGACACAGAGAAUAUUAGCAUGACCCCUGCACAAGAAUGCCACACAAAUUUGUGAAGUGUUCUAUAUUUUU